AUUCCCCUGGGAUUGUAGUUCAAUAGGCAAGAGCACCGCCCUGUCAAGGCGGACGUUGCGGGUUCGAGCCCCGUCAGUCCCG
rnacentral:tRNA from 7 species